rnacentral:rRNA from 1 species
CAGUCGCCGCGGUAAAACGAAGGGGGCUAGCGUUGCUCGGAAUUACUGGGCGUAAAGGGCGCGUAGGCGGACAGUUCAGUCGGGGGUGAAAGCCCGGGGCUCAACCUCGGUAUUGCCUUCGAUACUGGCUGUCUUGAGUAUGAGAGAGGUGUGUGGAACUCCGAGUGUAGAGGUGAAAUUCGUAGAUAUUCGGAAGAACACCAGUGGCGAAGGCGACACACUGGCUCAUUACUGACGCUGAGGCGCGAAAGCGUGGGGAGCAAACAGGAUUAGAUACCCGUGUAGUCCCUGUCUCUUAUAC